rnacentral:ncRNA from 10 species
UCAGNNAUCGGGAAUGAUGUUCUCCCCUGGGAUUCCAAAACCGCUGUUUCGCUGAUGACGUCUGCUUUUUU